GGCAGCCCUCUUUACUUGGACUUUCCUUUCUCAGAGGGAGUGAGCCAGGCCAGCGCUCCCUGGAUCUCCUGAGCAGAAUUUGCGCGGAGGCCUGCUUCACAAGCGCCAGAAUGAGAUCAUCUCCACAGUCCCUUCCAGCUCUCAACGUUCUGCAGUAUCCGGGGAUAAUGAAGAUUGAUCAUUAUUUCAACAUUACCAGGGAACCACCUUUCCAUGGAUAUCUUUUAGAUAUGCUGAGAGUCAGCCUGGAGCCAUUGAUAACAGGACUCACCAGAUACUGCCAUUUCCUCGAUGGUGACCUUGGGCAAGUGUUUAACUUCUGUGACCCUUGGUUUCUCACAUUUGUAAAAUGAGGCUACUAAGAGAUUCACUUGUCUCAAUUCAUGUAUAAAGCACUUAGAAUGGGACUCAAUACAGGGUCAGAAUUCCA